AGCGUGCUUGGGCGAGAGU
rnacentral:snRNA from 1 species